rnacentral:rRNA from 1 species
UACGUAGGGUGCAGGCGUUAAUCGGAAUUACUGGGCGUAAAGCGCGUGUAGGCGGCCCUGCAAGUCGGAUGUGAAAUCCCACGGCUCAACCGUGGAAGUGCAUUCGAAACUGCAGGGCUAGAGUCCUGGAGAGGAAGGUGGAAUGCUUGGUGUAGAGGUGAAAUUCGUAGAUAUCAAGCGGAACACCGGUGGCGAAGGCGGCCUUCUGGACAGUGACUGACGCUGAGACGCGAAAGCGUGGGGAGCAAACAGG